rnacentral:lncRNA from 1 species
UUUAUGGACAAGGAAACCGGAACGCAAAUCACUACGAAGAGCGCAUUUUAAUGGUUUUUGAAAGAUCUGAGCUAAACCCAACUGAAAAUAAGAUAGUCUAAAUGAUUGUUUUGCUGCUGCUUAGUUCGUUUUCAGAAUGACGGAUGCAGUGAGUGCAAAUGAUGUGGGCCUAGUGGUAUUUGAUACAGAACCUGGCAGACACCCCUAUGAUGACCAGCAUGAUAUCAGCUCCACAACCAGCAGUACACGUUCUGUCCGCAUCAACAACAGCCCUGUGUACCACGAAUCUGACAGAAGCUCUGUCAUGUCAGAAGAAAAAGUUGUGAUGUCAAGAGAUAAUGGGACUAGGGUCAUCAUCACACGAGAUCACCCAACGUUUCACCACCCAACGUAUCACCUCACAGAGAAAAAACUAGAGAUUAUUGUGAUUUUCUCCUAUGUGGCUGUCGUUAUCUUUUUCCCAACAGGUAUCCCUGCUGUGCUGAAUGCAAGGCAGGCUGAUAAACAGUUUUAUAGCAAAGGGGUGGAGAGAGGGGACAUGGAUUUAGCCAGGAAGUAUGCUCAGAGGAGUCAAAAUCUUAUUAUCGCAUCAGUUGUGCUUGCCUUGUUGAUUGUUUGUCUCGUAUUGGCAGUCAUGUUUUCAGGGGGGUCUGUUUCUCAAGGAAUACAUCUUUAAAAUAUGGUGAAAUAUAUUUAUUUUGCUUCAAGAAACUUGUAUUUUGUAUGCUGUGGGAAGGAUUGUCUAGAUGUUUUUAUGCAUGUUAUAAAAAUAAGAUUAACUGACAACAAAUUAAAGGCAUUGGUAGUAAAGAUGUAUCUUGGUUAUAUUGACAUGGAUAGUUUGCUAUAGUAGUUAGAGCAUGUAAUAGAUCUGAUGAAAAAUGGUGCUGCUUUCAUUUAUUUUUAGUUAGUAAAGUACUUGAGCAAGAUUUAAGUAUCAGCUUGUGUUUAUUUUUCAUUUUUUUUUCUUGUAUGGAAAAUUUUUUAUGUUUUUUAUUUCUUUCUGUCUUUAAUUAUUUUUUAUUACCAGACUUGUAUGUGGUGCAUGUUUUGAAGCCAGUAUAAACAGAAGACAUUGUAUCCAUAUCUCAUGACGUGAAUAUAUUUGCUAAAAAUAAAUAAAAAUAAAUUUGAUAAAAAUAAAUAAAUAAAUAAGAUAAAAAUCCAGUCUAUGCAAACAUGUAAUCUGUGAUAAUUAGUAACCUAUAGGCAUUUAAAAAGAGGAAUAUUUUUCAUUCACAAUAUUUUCUUUGUGAAACACAUCCAAGGUAGUUGAAAUAGCAGUGAAGUUGCUUUUUUCAUGUGCAUGCGGGAGCAGGCAUUCACAUUUUUGCCUACCUGCUUGCAGUACUUUAUUCUAGCAUGUUAACUUCUAUUGUAUUGUGCAUAAUAUGCCACUGAAUAUAUGAAAUGCAUAAUGAUAAAGAAACUGGUUUCUAAAUGGCAUGCUGAUGUAAUAAUUGUUGCUCUCUGAAGAAUUCUCUUUUCAGUUUGUGCAACUUUUUAAAUUUAUUUAUUUAUUUUUUGCUUAAUGCUGCAGUAGCUAAUGUGCAGAUAAAGAUAAAAAAAUAUUGGCUCAGGUCAGUGAUUUUUAUUCUCAACAGAAUACGUCCACAAACCCACAUAAUGCUUCCACAAGGUUUUAACCGUUUUCCUACUGCAUAUUUUGGCCUAUUAUUUUGGGCCUAUUGUUAUGCCAAACUUACUGAAAACUGAAAAAAGAAAAUUUAAUUCUGUACUUGGUAAUGGGGGCAUCAAGUAUUUUUUAUACAUUGGUAAUGGUGAUGUGUUAAUUGAGGUAAAGUGGUGGUUAUACAGAUAGUAUUAAAUGUAAUUCAUAAAUAAAUGUGAAAGAACUGGUAUAGAAAAUGUAACUGUCAGACUACUCCAUAAAUGUUAUUAUGAUUGUUUACUAUUUUACCAACCAGAUGAGUAUGUAAUUGAGUGUAUUUGUAAUGAAUAUAGAAGAUUAAAGAACUUAAAAAUGUCA